AAGGACUGGGGGAUUGGGUGCCUUCUUUUUAAAAAAAGAAAAAACACCGUUUCCUCCAG
ensembl:miRNA Mir7119 microRNA 7119